rnacentral:rRNA from 1 species
GAUGAACGCUGGCGGCGUGCCUAAUACAUGCAAGUCGAGCGAACAGACGAGGAGCUUGCUCCUCUGACGUUAGCGGCGGACGGGUGAGUAACACGUGGAUAACCUACCUAUAAGACUUGGAUAACUUCGGGAAACCGGAGCUACUACCGGAUAAUAUAUUGAACCGCAUGGUUCACUAGUUAAAGACGGUUUUGCUGUCACUUAUAGAUGGAUCCGCGCCGCAUUAGCUAGUUGGUAAGGUAACGGCUUACCAACGCAACGAUGCGUAGCCGACCUGAGAGGGAGAUCGGCCACACUGGAACUGAGACACGGUCCAGACUCCGACGGGAGGAAGCAGUAGGGAAUCUUACGGAAUGGGCGAAAGCCUGACGGAGCAACGCCGCGGGAGUGAUGAAGGUCUUCGGAUCGUAAAACUCUGUUAUUAGGGAAGAAGAAAUGUGUAAGUAACUAUGCACGUCUUGACGGUACCUAAUCAGAAAGCCACGGCUAACUACGUG